CAUGUGGUUUAAUUCGAUGAUACGCGAGGAACCUUACCCGGGCUCGAACGUAUGAUGAAUAAUAUGGAAACAUGUUAGUCGAUAAGACAUUAUACGAGGUGCUGCAUGGUUGUCGUCAGCUCGUGCCGUGAGGUGUCAGGUUAAGUCCUAUAACGAGCGCAACCCUUACUGUUAGUUACCAUCAGGUUAUGCUGGGGACUCUAGCGGAACUGCCUAUGCAAGUAGUGAGGAAGGUGGGGAUGACGUCAAAUCAGCACGGCCCUUAUGUCCGGGGCGACACACGUGCUACAAUGGUCAAUACAGAGGGCUGCUACACAGCAAUGUGAUGCUAAUCUCAAAAAUUGAUCUCAGUUCGGAUCGGAGUCUGAAACUCGACUCCGUGAAGUUGGAUUCGCUAGUAAUCGCACAUCAGCCAUGGUGCGGUGAAUACGUUCCCGGGCCUUGUACACACCGCCCGUCAAGCCAUGGAAGUUGGGGGUACUUAAAGAGCGUAACCUAAAGGAGCGCUCUAUGGUAAACUUAAUGACUGGGGCUAAGUCGUAACAAGGUAGCCGUACCGGAAGGUGUGGCUGGAAUACCUCCUUU
rnacentral:rRNA from 1 species